UACGUAGGGGGCAAGCGUUGUCCGGAAUCAUUGGGCGUAAAGCGCGCGUAGGCGGCCCGGUAAGUCCGCUGUAAAAGUCCAGGGCUCAACCCUGGAAAGCCGGUGGAUACUGUCGGGCUAGAGUCCGGAAGAGGCGAGUGGAAUUCCUGGUGUAGCGGUGGAAUGCGCAGAUAUCAGGAGGAACACCAGCGGCGAAGGCGGGUAGCUGGGCCAACACUGACGCUGAUGCGCGAAAGCUAGGGGAGCAAACGGG
rnacentral:rRNA from 1 species